rnacentral:rRNA from 1 species
GACGAACGCUGGCGGCGUGCCUAAUACAUGCAAGUAGAACGCUGAAGGAGGAGCUUGCUCUUCUGGAUGAGUUGCGAACGGGUGAGUAACGCGUAGGUAACCUGCCUGGUAGCGGGGGAUAACUAUUGGAAACGAUAGCUAAUACCGCAUAACAGUAGAUGUUGCAUGACAUUUACUUAAAAGGUGCAAUUGCAUCACUACCAGAUGGACCUGCGUUGUAUUAGCUAGUUGGUGGGGUAACGGCUCACCAAGGCGACGAUACAUAGCCGACCUGAGAGGGUGAUCGGCCACACUGGGACUGAGACACGGCCCAGACUCCUACGGGAGGCAGCAGUAGGGAAUCUUCGGCAAUGGACGGAAGUCUGGCCGAGCAACGCCGCGUGAGUGAAGAAUGGUUUCGGAUCGUAAAGCUCUGUUGUAAGAGAAGAACGAGUGUGAGAGUGGAAAGUUCACACUGUGACGGUAUCUUACCAGAAAGGGACGGCUAACUACGUG